UACGGAGGGUGCAAGCGUUGUCCGGAUUUAUUGGGUUUAAAGGGUGCGUAGGCGGCCCGUUAAGUCAGUGGUGAAAGCCUCCAGCUCAACUGGAGAACUGCCAUUGAUACUGGCGGGCUUGAGUACAGACGAGGUUGGCGGAAUUGAUUGUGUAGCGGUGAAAUGCAUAGUUACAAUCAAGAACACCGAUUGCGUAGGCAGCUAACUAGGCUGUAACUGACGCUGAGGCACGAAAGCGUGGGGAGCGAACAGG
rnacentral:rRNA from 1 species